GAUGAACGCUGACAGAAUGCUUAACACAUGCAAGUCAUUGGCGAAGCUGCGCUUGCGCAGUCUAGCCAAGGCGGACGGGUGAGUAACGCGUAAGGAACUUGCCCUGCAGACAGGGAUAACAGACGGAAACGACUGAUAACACCUGGUAUUGUCAGGCUGGCGCAUGCCGGCCUGAUGAAAGGAGACGCUGCAGGAGAGCCUUGCGUCCUAUUAGCUAGUUGGUGGGGUAACGGCCCACCAAGGCGAUGAUAGGUAGCCGGCCUGAGAGGGUGAACGGCCACAAGGGGACUGAGAUACGGCCCUUACUCCUACGGGAGGCAGCAGUGGGGAAUAGUGGACAAUGGGGGCAACCCUGAUCCAGCAAUUCUGUGUGCACGAAGAAGGUUUUCGGAGUGUAAAGUGCUUUCAGCAGGGAAGAAGAAAGUGACGGUACCUGCAGAAGAAGCGACGGCUAAAUACGUG
rnacentral:rRNA from 1 species